UACGUAGGGUGCGAGCGUUGUCCGGAAUUACUGGGCGUAAAGAGCUCGUAGGUGGUUUGUCGCGUUGUUCGUGAAAUCUCACGGCUUAACUGUGAGCGUGCGGGCGAUACGGGCAGACUAGAGUACUGCAGGGGAGACUGGAAUUCCUGGUGUAGCGGUGGAAUGCGUAGAGAUCUCCAAGAACACCAGUUGCGAAGGCGGCUGGCUGGGUCCACAUUGACGCUGAGGCUCGAAAGCGUGGGGAGCAAACAGG
rnacentral:rRNA from 1 species